rnacentral:rRNA from 1 species
GGAUGAACGCUAGCUACAGGCUUAACACAUGCAAGUCGAGGGGUAACAGGGGAGCUUGCUCCCGCUGACGACCGGCGAAUGGGUGAGUAACGCGUAUCCAACCUGCCUCAUGCCCGUGGACAGCCCUUAGAAAUGAGGAUUAAUACACGAUAUGUAAGCCAGCCGCAUGACGGGCUUAUGAAACAGACAUGAGAUGGGGAUGCGUUGGAUUAGCUUGUUGGCGGGGUAACGGCCCACCAAGGCAACGAUCCAUAGGGGUUCUGAGAGGAAGGUCCCCCACACUGGUACUGAGACACGGACCAGACUCCUACGGGAGGCAGCAGUGAGGAAUAUUGGUCAAUGGGCGAGAGCCUGAACCAGCCAAGUAGCGUGAAGGAUGACGGCCCUACGGGUUGUAAACUUCUUUUGCCGGGGGAUAAAAAACGGGACGUGUCCCGUCUUGCAGGUACCCGUGCGAAUAAGGACCGGCUAAUUCCGUGCCAGCAGCCGCGGUAAUACGGAAGGUCCGAGCGUUAUCCGGAUUUAUUGGGUUUAAAGGGAGCGCAGGCGGAGAUGUAAGCCAGCCGUAAAUCGUCGGGCUCAACCCGAUCCCGCGGUUGGAACUGCAUCCCUUGAGUGCGGGAGAGGUGGAUGGAAUUCGUGGUGUAGCGGUGAAAUGCAUAGAUAUCACGAAGAACUCCGAUUGCGAAAGGCAGUCCACUGGUCCGUUACUGACGCUCAUGCUCGAAGUGCGGGUAUCAAACAGGAUUAGAUACCCUGGUAGUCCGCACAGUAACGAUGAAUGCUCGCGUUUGUUCAUUAUGAUUGAGCCGCCCAGCGAAAGCGUUAAGCAUUCCACCUGGGGAGUACGCCGGCAACGGUGAAACUCAAAGGAAUUGACCGGGGGCCCGCACAAGCGGAGGAACAUGUGGUUUAAUUCGAUGAUACGCGAGGAACCUUCCCCGGGCUUGAAAUGUGCAUGACCGCCUCCAGAGACGGGGGCUUUCUUCGGACAUGCACGUAGGUGCCGCAUGGUUGUUGUCAGCUCGUGCCGUGAGGUGUCGGCUUAAGUGCCAUAACGAGCGCAACCCUUCCCGCCGGUUACCAUCAUUCAGUUGGGGACUCCGGCGGCACUGCCAUCGCAAGAUGAGAGGAAGGCGGGGAUGACGUCAAAUCAGCACGGCCCUUACGUCCGGGGCCACACACGUGUUACAAUGGGGGGCACAGCAAGCAGGUGCAUGGCGACAUGCAUCGAAUCAUGAAAUCCCCUCCCAGUUCGGACUGGAGUUUGCAACCCGACUCCACGAAGCUGGAUUCGCUAGUAAUCGCGCAUCAGCCAUGGCGCGGUGAAUACGUUCCCGGGCCUUGUACACACC